AGGUUUGCCCGACAUUUUUCUAUUGCGUGUCUGGAUCCCAUCUUUCUUCAUAAAUGCCUUGCAGGCCUGGUUUUCACCACAUCAGGAUACAGGGCUGCUGGCUGAAUUCCGGUAUGAAACGGAGCGCUGGUGCACCGCAAUCUGUGUCAUACACAUGCACAUCCCUCUUCAGACAGAUGGACAGGGAGCCGAAUCCAUCACGGUACUCCUGCCAGGUUCGGUUAAAGUCAGUUUGUCCAUCAAACCGGCGCUGGAACACCGUCCAUCCCCCACCAGCUGAAACCAUGUCACACACGGCCUGGAAUGGACAAGUCAUAAA